rnacentral:rRNA from 1 species
AUGGCGGCGGUUCGGUGCGCGGCCAGGAGGCUCGGUGGCUCCCUGCUCCAGCGGACGCAGGCGGAGGAGCGACGCCGGCUCGUGCCAAGCAGGCUCAUGCGCUCCCGCCACCUCACCACCGAGCAAGCGCAAGAGAUCCAGCAGAAGAAGGAGGCAUUCUAUGACGCGGUGUCUAAUGUGGAGCUUAAGAUGAAGGAGUUCAAUGAUGCCUUAGUUAAGGCGGUGGAUCCUACUGGCCAGAAGCAUCUUUCUGCGCCACGGACUGGCUAUGAGCGCCUUAAGAUGUAUGGAUUAAGAGCUCUGGGUGUGAUAGAGUUAACUUCCAAGACGGCCGUCUUCGUGGUGUUUGCUCUUUCCUUCGUUCGUCUCAGCAGCAUGAAGACCGAAGAGUUGACGUCAAGGGAAACCACCACUGAAGUGAAGGCCGCAAAUUGA